AGGAACUCUGAUGCUUGAUGCCGCGUGAGUGAAGAAGGCCUUUGGGUUGUAAAGCUCUUUUGUAGGGGAAGAUAAUGACUGUACCCUAAGAAUAAGGUCCGGCUAACUUCGUGCCAGCAGCCGCGGUAAUACGAAGGGACCUAGCGUAGUUCGGAAUUACUGGGCGUAAAGCGCGCGUAGGCCGUUGAGUUAGUUAAUUGUGAAAUCCCAAAGCUUAACUUUGGAACUGCAAUUAAAACUGCUCGACUAGAGUUUGAUAGAGGAAAGCGGAAUACAUAGUGUAGAGGUGAAAUUCGUAGAUAUUAUGUAGAACACCAGUUGCGAAGGCGGCUUUCUGGGUCAACACUGACGCUGAGGCGCGAAAGUAUGGGUAGCAAAGAGGAUUAGAUACCCUCGUAGUCCAUACCAUAAACGAUGAUUGCUAGAUGUUGGAAAUUUAUUUUCAGUAUCGCAGCUAACGCAUUAAGCAAUCCGCCUGGGGAGUACGACCGCAAGGUUAAAACUCAAAUGAAUUGACGGGGACCCGCUCAAGCGGUGGAGCAUGUGGUUUAAUUCGAAGAUACGCGCAGAACCUUANCAACCCUUGACAUGUCUGUCGCGAGUUUAGGAAACUAGACUUUUCGGUUCGGCCGGACAGAACACAGGUGCUGCAUGGCUGUCGUCAGCUCGUGUCGUGAGAUGUCGGGUUACGUCCCGCAACGAGCGCAACCCUACUUUAGU
rnacentral:rRNA from 1 species